AAUAAGUGCAGCCGUGGAUAUCCGUGCUCAACGUUUGACCGUCCGUCUUAUUUAAAAAUUUUGUGAAAAAAUUGAAAAAUAUUUAGUCACACAUAAGACGAACGGUUAAACGUUGAACGUGAAUAUUGCAAAAUUACACUUAUU
rfam:Oryza meridionalis cultivar OR44 (W2112) chromosome 4, whole genome shotgun sequence.